rnacentral:rRNA from 1 species
GACGAACGCUGGCGGCGUGCUUAACACAUGCAAGUCGAGCGGUAAGGCCCUUCGGGGUACACGAGCGGCGAACGGGUGAGUAACACGUGGGUGACCUGCCCUCCACUCUGGGAUAAGCCCGGGAAACUGGGUCUAAUACCGGAUAUGACCUCUGGAUGCAUGUCUGGUGGUGGAAAGCCUGGGUUGUAUGACUCUGGCGGUGGGGGAUGGGCCCGCGGUCUAUCAGCUUGNGGUGGGGUGAUGGCCUACCAAGGCGACGACGGAUAGCCGGCCUGAGAGGGUGAUCGGCCACACUGGGACUGAGACACGGCCCAGACUCCUACGGGAGGCAGCAGUGGGGAAUCUUGCGCAAUGGGCGGAAGCCUGACGCAGCAACGCCGCGUGGGGAUGACGG